GCAACUCGCCUACAUGAAGUCGGAAUCGCUAGUAAUCACAGGUCAGCAUACUGUGGUGAAUACGUUCCCGGGCCUUGUACACACCGCCCGUCACACCAUGGGAGUCGGGAAUGCCCGAAGCCAGUGACCCAAGCGAAAGCAGGGAGCUGUCGAAGGCAGGCCGGAUAACUGGGGUGAAGUCGUAACAAGGUAGC
rnacentral:rRNA from 1 species